rnacentral:misc_RNA from 1 species
GAAAUGCGAUAAUUAAUGUGAAUUGCAGAAUUCAGUGAAUCAUCGAGUCUUUGAACGCACAUUGCGCCCCCUGGUAUUCCGGGGGGCAUGCCAGUCCGAGCGUCAUUGCUGCCCUCAAGCACGGCUUGUGUGUUGGGCUUCCGUCCCUGGCAACGGGGACGGGCCCAAAAGGCAGUGGCGGCACCAUGUCUGGUCCUCGAGCGUAUGGGGCUUUGUCACCCGCUCCCGUAGGUCCAGCUGGCAGCUAGCCUCGCAACCAAUCUUUUUAACCAGGUUGACCUCGGAUCAGGUAGGGAUACCCGCUGAACUUAAGC